rnacentral:misc_RNA from 1 species
UUCAGGUCCGAAUGCAUCGAAUCAUCGAAAUUCGGUCUGAAUCAUCGCUGAACCUUGUCAGGUGCAGCGAAGUUCAUUGCACUUCAUCCCUACAGCGAAGAUUAUCGUGCAGAUAGGCUCGACCAUGGUUAUUAGUUAGUUCAACCAUUAGUUCAAUCAUGGGCUCGACGCCCGCAUCUCUCUCAUGCCGUCUGAAGAAACAUACCAACAUUCAUUCUAUGAAUUUUGUUAUCUCUAAUAAAACUUCUUAUGAAUGCCAGCAUCCCAAUUUUUUCAGGAGGUUGAAAAAUAGUUAAUUUCAAAUUGAAUGCGUUGCAUUAAGGCACCAAUGUUGACAUAGCUAGUAACCGAUAGGAAUUGGUAAGAAUCGUUUAUUAGGAGAAGAUGGGUCGUAUCAAAUUUAAAGUAGCACUCUUAUGGAUAUUUUUUGUAUUCGUCUUCUUUAUAUUAAAGAAUGGUGACCCGGCCUGGCUGCAAUUCAACGAGAUAGAGACUGGUCCCAAGUGGCGGUCUAAAAUGCAGGUCGAGCAACAGCACCGACGACUACACACACAGAAAGCCUGCCAAUUGCUGGGUAACUCGUCUAAAUACGCGAGCCUGGACGAGAUGAACAGCAGCCACCUCUUGUGGUUGAUGCGUCGGCGCAUGAUGACGUGUAUCAAUAAUAAGGUGGGAUCAACGUGGUGGGUGAACUUGUUGCUGCAGGAUUAUUUUGACGGGGAACCUUUGCUGACAGCCUACCGCUCCCCACACUUCAUCGCCGAGACCGUCCUCGGCCUGUCGCCAACAAUUUACAGCUUCGAGAGACCCGAACUACUAAAAAGCGUCCGCAGCGUUAUAAUCGUCCGACACCCGUUCGUACGACUUGUGUCGGCAUACCGCGACAAAAUAGAGUCCUGCGUCGACAAAGAUGCCUGCUACGCCUACAAGUAUGGCUUCACUCGGCAGUCGGUUCCGCGCAGCUUUAGCGCCUUCGUCGAGUUUCUAAUUCGCACAAUCCCAGAAAGCGGACCUUUUCGCGGCCAGCUCAUUAACGACAUCGACAGCCACUGGCUGCCAUAUUACAUAAACUGCGCGCCUUGUGAUAUUAAGUACGACUUCAUUGUCAAGAUGGAAUCUUGGCAGGAUGAUGUGAGAUUCGUCCUAGAAAACUUCAAUUUCACAUCUUUUAGAGAAAACGAACGCAUUAAUGCUUCUAAUGCCACCCACGUUGCACUCGAAUAUUUUAAGGACGUCGAACCACACUUAAUCAGCAGCCUGUACUCGGCAUACUUCGCUGACUUCGAAAUGUUCGGUUAUAGCCCUAACGGCUUUUAUAAUAUUUAUAAAUAGUUUGAUAUUUUGUUAAUGGAAAGAAAAACACAGAUAAUUUUCAUGUUUUUCACGUUAUUAUAAUCCCAACAAAGUUGAGUUAAAUCUCUGGCAUCUGUUACCGAUUAAAUCUUCGGCGCUCUUCGAUUUUCUCACAAGAAAUUGAGUAAUAAGGUGUAAUGUUGUAUGUAGGCUGCAAAUUCCCUACUUGUAUUCAGACCAUAGAGAUUAAGUAUACCGGUGCUGAUGUAGGCCGAGGAUGGUAAUAGUAGCCUUGUCAAUUCCGGCUUGCGUGUUGGUGCCUCGCUUACAGGGGAUUACCUGACCAUCGCCUAGGAUCAAGAGCUUUGUCCCUCAGUUAGCUCGCUCUCUCUCUCCUCCGCGUCUUAGUUCAACAACAUUAGGCUACUUGUUGAACUUCUUAGUUAAUAAACCUUGAACUUG